rnacentral:lncRNA from 1 species
AAGAGUUAGUAAAUAUACUUUUCCUACGACUUAACAUUGUAAAGUACGCCCUCAAGCAUUUUCGCAUAUUUUAAAAUGGUCGAUCGUGUAUAUUAAUCUCAUGUGGGUACAUAGUUUAGGUAAGAUGUGCCAUUUUCUCCAUAUGUGAUUUGCGUUAUUGUAAUGGGCAAAUUUGUAAUCCAAAAUCAAUUAUAUAGCUUGUUUUACCAAGGAGAUUAAGGAACCUGUCAAUUAACAA